ACCCCCCUGCCUUCCUGGAGGAGCAGCUCCCUGCUGAGAUAUUACACUUUCACAGAAUUUUUCCGGAGAGCAGGACAUAAUCUGUUUGGUCUCUACCAGAAAUACCCAGUGCAGUACGGAAUGGGCAAGUGCUGGGUUGACAAUGGCCCAGCCAUUCCUGUGGAGUAUGACCACGGUGAUCAGAGCACUGCCUCUUACUACUCACCAAACAGUCAAGCACUGCAUUGGUGGAGGAGGCUACUUUCCAGAGGGGACCCCCAAGCAGUGUGGGGACUUCUCUGCAUUUGACUGGAAUGGAUAUGGGACUCACAGCAACUGGAGCAGCAGCCAGAACAUCACUGAGGUAGCAGUGUUCCUGUUCUACCGCUGAGAGCCCUAAACUGGAGAACUUGGAUUCACUCCUAUCCCAGGCCCUUAGAGAUACAAAACUUGAAUGUU